rnacentral:lncRNA from 1 species
UCACGGUUCCAAGAGCCACAGGCAGCUGGGUUCCAUUGGUGCUGGAACAACGCCGGGGCGCGUGUACAAGGGGAAGAAGAUGCCCGGGAGGAUGGGAGGAACCAAGACCAAGAUCAGGAAGCUCAAGAUCGUCAAGAUUGACAACGACCUCCGGGUCGUCAUGAUCAAGGGCGCUGUGCCAGGGAAGCCCGGCAACCUCCUCCGCAUCGCGCCUGCCAAGAUUGUUGGCAAGAACAUCCCCAAGAACUAGAAUUGUUUUUGCUGAUUUUUUAGUGUUUCCCUACCCUGCUGCAAAAUGGAUGUAAUUUCAUCGCCA